rnacentral:ncRNA from 1 species
CCUGAGCACUACAUGUAGGGUCUGCGUCGUCGAUGCGACAAGGGAACCCGGUGCGAGUCCGGGACUGCCCCGCAGCGGUGAGCGGGAACGACCGCCGUCAUUGAAGCACUGGGCGUGAGUCUGGGAAGCGACGGCCAGUAGGUCCAGGCAUGGGUGCCCGCGAGUCCGAAGACCUGCCAUCGAUGCGUGCGCCGU